UGGUAUCCAACCCUGGCAUAUCUUGAUAAGACCAGACGAAGUAUCAACAUACUCUUUCAACGGUGCUACCAUUCUGCUCUUGACAUUCACCUCCAAAGCGCCCCAAUUUUUACUUCCUUUCUGACCUCCUCGGUACCCAGAUUAACAAUCUCAACUUGCUCCUCGUGCGGUUGAAUCACCUUCUCCUCUUGUUUCAACAACCUGGCUAACUCUUCCGGCAGUUCACACUCGGUACCCAGAUUAACAAUCUCAACUUGCUCCUCGUGCGGUUGAAUCACCUUCUCCUCUUGUUUCAACAACCUGGCUAA
rnacentral:lncRNA from 1 species